GACGAACGCUGGCGGCGUGCCUAAUACAUGCAAGUCGAACGCAGGGGGGACGGGUGAGUAACACGUGGGUAACCUCCCAUCAGAGGGGAUAACACUUGGAAACAGGUGCUAAACCGAUACUGAUGGAUGGACCCGCGGUGGAUUUGCUAGUUGGUGAGGUAAAGGCUCACCAAGGCCACGAGGCAUAGCCUACCUGAGAGGGUGAUCGGCCACACUGGGACUGAGACACGGCCCAGACUCCUACGGGAGGCAGCAGUAGGGAAUCUUCGGCAAUGGACGAAAGUCUGACCGCGCAACGCCGCGUUGGUGAAGAAGGUUUUCGGAUCGUAAAACUCUGUUGUUAGAGAGGCGGUAUCUAACCAGAAAGCCACGGCUUACUACGUGCCAGCAGCCGCGGUAAUUC
rnacentral:rRNA from 1 species